rfam:Oryza sativa Japonica Group DNA, chromosome 11, cultivar: Nipponbare, complete sequence.
AAUAAGUGCAGUUUUACACUAUUCACGUUCAACGUUUGACCGUCCAUCUUGUUUGAAAAUUUUUUAUGAUUAGUAUUUUUAUUGCUAUUAGAUGAUAAAACAUGAAUAGUACUUUAUGUGUGACUAAAUGUUUUUAAUUUUUUCACAAAUUUUUCAAAUAAGACGGACGGUCAAACGUUUAACGUGAAUAGUGCAAAACUGCACUUAUU